rnacentral:lncRNA from 1 species
CCGCCCUCCUGGCUCCGGAACGCGGGGCGCCGCCGCCGCCAUGGGCGCGAUGGGUGGGCGCGGGCUGCGCGUGUGCCUGCCUGGCAUCAGACGGCACUGUGACUCCUCCCGAACUCUGAAAUGCAAAGAUGUUCCAUGGACCGCGGCAUCGCCUUUCCUCCCAGGUCCUUCGUACGUUGCCAGCAGGCCCUCGUGGAAUCAGCACCAUUUGGAAAAUGAGAUGAAAGCUGUUUUAUUCCUCUUGCACAGUAAGGAAUGAGAAAUCCUCUUGCCCCAGUUGGUGUUUCGAUAUAAACUGCAUCGACGGUGGAGCCUCCAUUAUCCAGAUGAUUUUGCAGAAACAAAUGGCCAUGGGCUGUGCAGCCCCUUUGUCACCCACUGCAGAUCUACCACCUCCGAUGGGUUCAUAACAGCAGAGCUGAGGGAGAGGAGUGAGGACAAACGCCGGCACUUGUUUGCAUUGCUGCAGAAUACAAAAGGUAACAGAUACACGUGGGGACUUUUCCUCUUGCCCCCAGACUCCGUGUGCUGUGUCAGCUGUCUGCAGUAAAGCUCUGCGUGGACACAGAAGGCUUUUCUUGUGUUGUGCACUGCAGGACCAGAACUGCAUGUUGCAGCCGCUGCAGGAAAUGUCAGCCAGAGCUUGGGCUACAACAGCUGAGUACCAGGUUUUGCUGACCACCAAAAUCUAAUAUCAGGUCCUUGGAAACAAACCACUCCUGUGGAGCAAGGCGAGCGAUGGCAAAGGAAGCACAUUCCUCACAAACUCAAACAGAUGAUCUCCAAAAGACAAAAAGAUCCACACCAAGUAACAAAGAUCGUUCAUUCUCAGUAGUUGGGGAGUAGGAAUACAGAUAACAACAUCUCACCCUGAAACACAAGCAGGUGGAGGAGUGCUGUCCUCCUGCAGCUGCCAGAAUAGCACCAGGAUCACAGAGCAGGGCAGCACCAGGCAGUGCUGGGCUCCAGGGCCCACCAGCUUUCAGCUGAAGGAUGCUGCGGGAUCAGAAGCACUCACGGGCAUCCAGAGGAGCUGGCACAAAGCUUUCCACGUCCUCUGGAUGGAGCAGAGCAGGAUACCCAUUACCGCUCACGUUUUCCUUCCUUGGGAAGGGAAGGAGCAGCACAAGGAGAUUUUUCAAAGCAGUGAAAAUCAAAGAGGUUUUUCCUCACAUAAGAAAAAAUAAUAUAGGAAUGCUUGUUAUUUGAGACUGUUUAACAUCCAAAAGCUACAUUAUAUUGUAACUCAAUUUUGUAUAUAUUUUGACAGUCAUAUUCAUCAACCCUACAAUCAUUCUGAGGAAGCGUGCUGCUUAAAAUUAUGCGUGAGCAGAAAAAGGCAAGGUGGAUAUAUAGCUCACAGAAGGAUUUCACUGCCUACCCCCCAGCUGCUGCGGAGCAUUGACAUCUUUUCUCAGUGGUCUUCUCUCAGAGGGAUCCUUAAGGCACCAGAAUCUCUGCUCUCUGUUACCCCAGCUGAAACAGAGCUGAUGUACGAUCACACCAGUUCAGCUUCUGUAAGUGAGACCGACAUUUGGCUGCUGUUCUGGGGUGUGUUUGUCCAUUUGCUUGAUAAAGCACUGUGCACAUGCUGCUUCCUUCCACUGCACAUCCAAGUAGAGGCCCGGCUUUCAACAGAAGUAAUCAUACAGUACCAACUGCCAGGAAGGCCAUCUUCAAAGUCAGCAUAUAAUUCUCUGGAAACACACACUGCUAUAUAAGCAACAUAUAAAAAUAUAGUGGGACAUUUUUAGAUUCUUUGAAGAUUUAAUGUUAUGCAAGUAGGAAAACUGAGAAUAUUAUAGAGUUACAUGAGAUGCUGAAAAUGAUAUUUACCAGCAAGGUAAUGCAAUAUACCUCUAUUGUGACAUUCAAUAAUUAAAGAGAGGCCCCCAGCAGUGAAUUGGUGGGUGAUUAACUCAUGGCAGCACCAUCCUCAGCCACCAGAGAAGUGGCAGCGCCUGCAGAGGGGCACUGGCAGCUGUGUGCCACAUCCCCAGCCCGGCACCGAAGCACAGCUAGGGAGUGCUUUUGGCAGAACUGAUUUCUCCUUUCUCCGAAUGGAAAUUAACAGAAAAAUGGAGACUGGGCGGCCAUUUCCAGAGACAGGUUUUUUUUUUCCUGGUAGUAGCCUUAGGCUGACUUUCUGGAUUUAAGACAUCAUUCUGCCCCUAAUUCUGCAUAGGUACGAUGGUCUGUUCAGAUAGGAUCUGUAAUUCAGCUCCAGCAGAAAAAAAUAGAGGAAUUUGAAGUUUGGUCUUUAAUGAACAGAAGCCAACAGCUGACAAAUUAAGUACUUUGGAGAAGUGAAAAUUAAACAGUCCUGCAGACACGAGUGUUGGCAUAUGGAAAGCUGCCACUGAGCUAAUAAUAGAUGUGUCUACUGCAGCAGAGAGGGAGGUCCCCAUCGUCCCGGAGCACACCAUACAUCUGGGCACUGGGAAAACAGCCACGAGGCGGUGUCUGUUUGUUGCUUGUUACCUUCCUGCCAGCUAUUCAUCUGCUGCAACUGCUGGCUGAGGGCAGCCAUCCACAGGCAGUGACACUGCACUGCAACGGCACCGGGAUCAGUUCUGCCCACCAGCUCCCAAUUUAGCAGAUGAGUUUCCUGAAGCCACAGAAGCACAGGAGAGUCUUCCACUAGCACACUGCUUGCUGCAGUGCAACUGCUCUACAUAAUUCCCCCAAACUCAGCCAACAGAAUGCAGAAACGUGAGCGUGUGACAACAGCCAUUUCCUCACAUUACUUCAGGUAGCUGUAAAAGCACAAAACUACCUGUGGACUGGGUCUUCCUUACUUAUACCAGCCCAACCCCUCCAUCAUCUCUUUGUGUGCAGUAGAGUCAUGCUGCUGAAAAACAGGAGGAGAACCAGGGUCACUACAUGAAAGAUGGAAAAAAGCAUAGAGAAAUUACAAAUCAGAGAAGGAAAGUGAUUUACAGACAGGUGAUUAAGAAACUCAUCAACUGUAUUUUCGUAAGUAUUCUCUUGUUCAUUAAAGGGAGGAUACAAAUGAACAGGGUGGUGGAACUGCAGGCAGCCGGCAGCAGGGUAACUUAGCUCCAGUUAUUGCCAAAAACACUCCAAGCAAAGAGACCGAAGUACAUGAUGUGCUCCAGCAGCCAGCAGUAAGGAAGGCUGUGUGUACGUUGUACGGCAGUAGGAGGAGGAGCACACUCAUGUGAAACACGCCUCACCCUACAGACGCUCUCCUGGAGAUGACAGAUGAGGUUGAUUCACAGCACUCCUCCCAAAGAGUGUCCCUACACCCUGUAAUACAGAAAGCCAACAAGAGAUAAUGGGCACUAAAGAGCAGAAGUGAGAUAAAGCACUAAAGAGAAGAGAGAGAUAAGGUGCCAGAGAGGAGAUACGCGUGAGUGUGCGCACACAGAGGAACAAGCUCUAAUAUGAAGCAAGGGCAGCCUCUGCCAGUUUUAGCACUGAAUCACUACUUCUCUUCAUAGAGUACACAGCCCAUGAGCUUUUGGAGACUUCUGAGGUAACAAGCCAUGGGGCAAUUUUGGUUGCAUCACAGCUGAGUAAGCUGGAUAAUGAGAUGAGUGGAGAUGAGGCGACUCUGCUGACAUUAAGAACCCAUCGGUCCAGGAAAGGGAAGCUCCUGCACACCCGAACUGCUUUUCAGUCAAGCCUGAUGCUGUUGUCAUUAUGAUGGCAAAUACACAAAGGACUUUUAUUGUAGGUAUAUGCUCUGAAAAACCUGUGCCUCUGCCUGAGACUGUAGCAAGAAAAAGUAACCUUAAUAAGAGCCUGUAAGUUCUGUUAAUGUUUUGGUGCUUCCAAGUCAGUUCAGAAACUAAAAGGCUGUCUGAGAGUUCUGCAUCUUCUAGCUGCUUCCAGCAAGUAGUUGCUGUCUUUCACAUGGGUAAGUCCUCCAUUGGCAGAAUUCAGCUGGCCAUUUUAUCCUUACAGACUCCACCUACUGGCACUGUAUUGUCUACCACUAAAAUAUCACAUCUGGUUGGGUACCAUGAGCUUCACAGAGCUGAUAGCUGCAGCAGAUGAGCUUGCUGAUAGCCUUCCACGUGCCCCUGUGAGCUUGCCAGAGCAAAGAAUCUGACCCCAGCAGCGCUGGCUGCUGGGAACGUGACUGGGACAGAUUUCUUCAGCAUCAGCCAGGUUUUUCCAGGUCUGAUGAGGAAGGGGUGGCUCUCUGGCCUUGCACAAUGUACCACUACAGCAGCCACACUUGUCGCCAUCCAGAAGAACAGGAGAACAGUUCCAGAAGUCUGCUCUUUCCUCAGCACAGGGUGCUAGGCACAGCCGCAGAAAGGUUUUGGCACCAUGAAGGUGCCCUGGCCUCCCCUGGCUGCCACUCACACGACUACUCAGACCUGCGCCUCAUCUCCCUUUGCUUACUUUAUAUCCUUCUCCACUGCUGAGCCCUUUGGUCCCUUUGUGCCCUCCUGGCUUGAACAGGGCACGAUAUGGGCACAGCAUGAGGAACCCGAGACAGGCAGAGGAGUGCAAGAGGUCCCAUGUGCUGCACCCCUGGGAAGGUGACACUUCUCCAUGCAGAGCAAUGGCACUGACACCACACAGAGCAGCAGUCCUUGAGUUAAAAUAGCAGCAACACUGACAGUACUCACAGGUCCCAGAAAGGAAAGGUGAUGCAGAAUUGUCUUGUUCACAUUUUCCAUACUGGGAACCAGCACAAACGUUGUCUGCUUCAAUCAUCCUCUGCAAUAUGUGAUACUCUGCCUCAAGAUUACACAAAUAAAAAAAAAAUACCCACAGUACUCCAUUUGUUUUCUCCAGGAAGAGCUCAAAACGCAACAAAAUCCAGCCCCUCUGUAUUGUUCUUCACAAGCUCCAAAGUGUUCAGCUGCUCAAGAUAUAUCACAUUACAGCCCAGGGAUGUACCCAUCCUCUGAGUAAGGAGGGCCAUCACCCCACAGCCAGCUGCUGCAGGACACGUGCUCUGUGCAUCUCAGGGCCAGCAGAGCUCCCAGCCAGCCCUGGCUUCUCUCAUAUUCACAUCAAACUACAGCUCAGAUCAGGGACAAAAUAUAUUUUCAGAGCUUUGAGAAAAAUAGGGUUUUUGUUUGUCCUCCCCCCCUCUCUUUCUUCAAAAUGACUCACAUCCUGUAAUAAUGAGCAAAGGACACCAACUGCAAUCUCUUUGUGAGAAGUAGCCUCAAGAAAUCUUACGGUGUUUUAGACAUUCAAAAUAAAAAACUGAUGAUUUCACAGCGUUAGUCAGCAAUAACUUCAGGAAGGCGUAUUGGAAGUCAAACAAAUCCUAAAGGUGUUGAUCUGAUUGGGAAUCUGACAGUUCCACAUCUUGCGGCAGAAAGCUGAAAACAACAGAAGGACACAGCAACAAAACACACACGAGAGUAAGAUCCAGUGGAAAAAAAGAUCUGACUUAGUAAAAACAAGACAGGAUACAGCAUCGGCCUUGUCCUAAAGAGAGAUUUCUUUGGCUUUUCCUAGUUUCUGAGGGCAAAAAGUGUGUUUUUCUUCCUUUCCGAGGGGCUGGAUUGAGGCUGUGCUGCUGGUGGGAAGAGCAGGUAGGGCAGAUGGCCGCGGGACCCCCACUCUGGGAUCUCCUCUCCCUGCUACUGCAUGGUUUGAGCGUGGCUUCAGAGCUGUGGAGGACUGAAACACUCAGUGCCCUCCUGGGCCCACGAUGUGCAGCUGUCCCAGGCAUGAGCUCAGCGGUGCAGAGGAGACAGCAGCAAAUUCUCUCUCUCUCUUUCUCCAUGAUCAGCCCAGCAAAGAACAAGAUAACUUGCUGUUCGCACUACUUUUGGUUCAUUUGGCUGCAUUCUAGAACAGACACAAUUAGGCAGAUUUUUAAAUGAACAAAUUGUUUAGGUUUCUCAUUAAAGUUGGUUCAACAAGAUUGCUUCAGUGACUGAAAAGCCAGCACUGGGGGUCUUACAGACCUGCACUGGGCUGAACUGCAGCAGUUUGCCUGCUGGCUGCAUGCAAGGCUCUUCUGGGGAAAACAGCACCCACAGUAACAAGCUCUUAGGCCACGACAGGACGAACUGCAGUUUCCUGUAAUGUAACAGCUGCUCCGGAUUUCUUCCUAAUCUGCAUUGCACGCAGCAUAGAGAUUUCAGUAGCCAUGAUCUUACUUCGGUGCAGAACAUGAUUUCCUUUCACACACACACGAGGUCCCUGGAGCCAAUUUGCACAGUGCCCAGAGGCCCCAGCACGGACUCCCAGCUGCAGAGGUCUGCUCCUGCCCUCCAUGUCUUCUGUGUAUGCCUGCAGUGCACAGCUGCCCCUGACAGGCAUGUGCAUCAGCAGUUUGGAAACAAAAUAAAGGAUGGGGAACAUGCCUGUCCUGGCUCCAUCCAUUAUGUGGCUCCAUCAUUACAAGAAUCAACAAGCUUUCUGUCCUGCUCCACACAGCGUUAAAGCAAAUGCAAUGAACCUAAACUUGUCAGUAACCACAAAUGCACCUAAUCCACCAAAAAACAGGGAGCUGAGCCUGCAGGACAAGCUGCUCUCAGAAGUCCCAAGUCUGGAGACAGAGGAAAAUGCAGAGCACCACUUCUAGAAUAUUUUGUGUGGUAGGAGACCAUGUAAUCAGUGUACCAGAGUCAGAUGAGUACAGAAUCAGCAUUAGAAGCUGAAUCAUUUCCAGGAUAGGAGAGAUUUAUCCUAUACUGCUCCCUAUUAAAGUCUUACACAGUGUACUACCUACUCAGUAAACCCAAGAAAUUAAUUGACUCUGGCACAAAUGAACAGAUGAUAAAGAAGAUCCAAUAAGAAGACUUGGGAGAUAAAAACCUCUUUGUAUCUCCAUCGUGGGAGCUGGACCAAGGAUGAGGUUGGGCCCUGCCCUGCACAGCGUGCGCUUUCCAUCACUGCCGCAGCCUCUUUCUUGCCUGGAUACACCACACUCCUCGGGGUGAAUCAGGGCUCCCUCACAUCAUGCAAGAGCCAGCAAAGAGCAUACGAGCCUGAAGCCACAAGUCUGAAGCUACUGAACACAUGACAAUAUAAAGCAAGUCUGAAGCUUAAAGCAUGGGUUUUAGGAGCUAAACAGUUGUGCCCAGCACUGUGAUCUGUCGUUACUCUGCUGUUGUUGGUCCACCAGAGCUUAAAAUAGGCUGAGCAACAAGAUAAACAACUGUAAAAAUCCCAGGCUGCUGCCAGCAGAUACUUGGGAGGCCGCAGCAUCACACGGUUUCGCUUCACUUCCAGUUACUGCAUUAUUUGUAGAAGUCUCCAUUAUAAUUCAGGAACACACUGAACCCAAGUGUUGAUGCAGCCAGAGAAAAACUUCAUGCUGCAGAAGAAUCCACACACCGCAUGCAAUGCUGCAUCAGCCCAGCUCCAGUGCUGCAGGCAGAGCAUGCAUGAGAUCAUGGUCUACAACCUUCCCAGAUUCUCCGAAUUCACCCUGUCGAGGGCAGGUAGUUCUCAUGCUUCAGCUGCUGCCGUCACAGGCUUUGUUAGUGCUGGAGGCUGAGGCUUUGUAAGGAGCCACGGGAGUUCAGGACAUUCUGUUCAGAACGCCAAAGGCGCUGAAUAACCACUUACAUUUGCAUGUGCCUAAACAUAGCCUAAACAAACUGCAAAUAGCAGGAAUAGGGUUAGCACUGAGAAGCACAACUAAAAGCAACGAAUACCCAUUAAUGAUUUGGUACUUUUCCAGAAAGGCUAGAACACAGACUAUCAAAAAGAAUACGUGAAGUGGUAUUUUUGUACAGACAAUGGAGGAAACAACAAACAAAAAGCCCACAGUCACAAAGGGUAAAGAUUUGAGAUGUUUGCUGCAAACUUCAAAGCGUAGUUUUAACCAGUCAGUAUGCUUUAUGAGAUUAUCCCAAGAUAAGAUAAUCUGUUAAGCACUGUUUCUGGAGUUCUGACUAUUUGCUAGACAUGCACAAUCUCUUUGCUGCCUGAGCUCAAACGCUUUUCUCUGCUGCAGCAGCGGCAGCUCACAAAGAGGCAGCCAGCUUACAGCAGAGCCUCUGCAUUAUGAAUCACACCAUGUGCAGCAGAAGGCAGGCUGCAGUGCUCAGGGUGGGCUACAGAGAGCCAGAAGACCCGGGGUGCUCCUCCUGGUGCUGCCCAUGGUUUGACAGACGAUCGUCAGAGCGGCCCUCAUCGCAUACAUCUGUUUCUCAGCUUCCAUAUGCUAAGCAUCAGCAGUACAGCAGAACACCCCAGGGGUUGCUCACCUUAAGAAGUCAAAGAAGGGGAGAAUGAGAACAUCUGAAAAGGAAAGGAAAUAAUUUGGCGCAUCAUGAGGCAUUUACAUUUCUGAUUUCAGAGGCAAUUCAGGCUGCACUUUAGAACACAGGCUCUGACCCAUGUAACAGAAGAGAAGGGAAACGUUAAAAAUGUAACAGCACUCCUUACAAUUAUUUCAAACCACCCCCCCCGAGCGUCUGGUAAGGCAGGCUGUAGUUACUGCAGUGAGGCUCAUGAAGCGUCUGGAUGCUGUGAGCACUGCUGCCUCUGCUAUACCUGACCAGAUUCACCCUCAGAGCCUCCCUGAGCAAGGGAAGUAGGGCACUGAGUGCGGUUCAUUGCAGAGAUGGCUGCAGAAGAAUAUUCCCAUAGUUAAAGAUAGUCCGUGUCAGUGGAUCCGGUGAUGCACGCAGUGAUUUUUAAAGAAGCCCCGCCCGGUAACAGCGCAGGAUGCAGCCUACCGGCGGCACAGAGGAAUUCCCCCUCGGAGCCGAUUCGGCACAGGCAGCGCUGCAGAGCAGCAGGCAGCACUCUGCCGGCCGGGAUGCGUCGACACCAGAGGAGCUCCCGACAGUCUCCAGCUGCAGCAGACAGCGUGUCGUGCAGCCCGGCCCCCCAGCCUCCCCGUCAGCCUGUAAUCAGCUGCACUGUACAUGUGCACCAGCCUCGAGAACAUAGCAACAGGUGUACUUUGAAACCUGAAAGGUCCUUAGUUCAUUUAAGCCCUUGGCAGGAAGCCACAGCAGAAGGUCCAUUAGCACAGCUGUUGAAGCAGAGGGACUUACAAUGGCCACACCUGUUCCAUCACCACUGAACACCCACAAUGCUCCUCACUCCCACUUUCUGCCCAGUACACAGUGUGACAGACCCUGAGCAGCACAAAAUCCAAGUACAGCUCCAAAUGACUUCAGAAGCAUUAGCUCCACAUUGUGGCAGGAUUUCUUCCUGCUGUGACAGAAGGCUCUGCCGAACACACCACAAGACCGUAUCCGCUGUAGAUUCCAGUAGGGAGCAUUCACUUACUCUUCUCGGCAGGAUGGAAGAGACAUUCCCAUUUUACAGACAGAAAAAGAAGCCCCUCAUGAUGGCAAGGAUUUAAACGAGCAUUUUCUCAGUCAAAAGAUAGGCUUUUUAAAAAUUAUUUUUAAAGCUAAGGAUCGCUUGUGUUUUUUCUGUAAGAAAGUGAGAUGAGGACUUGAACCUUUCUGAGUGGAACUACUCAGUCCUGACCACCACGUGCCAAUCCCGUUCGGCUUUGCUACUUCUCCCAUUUAUAGAAGCUUCCUUGAUAAGCAUUUCAUCCAAGCCACUGGUAACUGCAGUCUGAUGUCAGAGGCUUGAGUUCUGUCUUUUAGGUAGAUCUAAUGGAUUUCAACCUCUCCACUGCAGUCAGAAGCAGGAUUUUUUCCUAGGAAAAAUCCAUUGCCACUGAGCUAGAUCUUUUAUUCUUCUUCAUAUAAAUAUAUAUAUAUUUAAGUUCAGAUUCAUGAACAAAGAUUGAAAUGAGCAAACCGUUUGUAUCAAGAAGAGAGAAAACCCUAUUUCUCAUUCUUCAGCAGCCGUUCCUGACAUGUCAUUUCGCAGAUGAAAAGGCUUUUUAUGUAGAACCUGAUACAGAGACUGAAAUGACUCGCAGAGCAUUCCAUUAAAAGGAAAACAUCCCACAGUACAGCAGUUGUGUACAUUUCUCUUGCUGUGGAACAAAACAGCAGUUUUUACUGCUAUGAUCUCCAAAUCCAACAGUAUUAUGUAUUUUAUCAAUGUACGAAUACUGAUGGGGGAAGAGAACAGAGCUCUUCUCCAUGGUGUCCAGUGACAGGGCAACAUGCAAUGGGCACGUACUGAAGCACGAGUAAAUCUGUUGAAGUAUAAGAGGAAAAUCUUUUUGCUGUGGGGCUGAUCAGACACCAGGACAGGUUACGCAGGGACGCCGAGUAAUCUUCAUGCUCAGGAGAUAUUCAGCAGCGACCGACAGUGUCCUGCCUAACUUGCUCUCAUUGCCCCACUUUGAAGAAUUCACUAGGUGACCUGCAGAGGUCCCUUCCAACCUCAGCUAUCCUUUAAUUGUGAGUAAUGAGAAGAAUGUGAUUUGCUUAGUCUAGAAAGGGAAAGCUGGAGGUAGGCAUAAUGGAUCCCUUUGAAGCAGACAGAUCUCUACGUGUACUGACCAAGACAGAUGAAGCAGUAACAGGCUAGCUGUAGGGAAAGAAUGGCACAUAUUUAUGUUCCACAGGUAGGAGUAUUUAAGUGCUGGAAUAGCCCAUGGAAUCUUAGCAGCAAACUUAAAAAGGAAAACACGUGAAGAGCCAUUGGGAAUGGCCUAGGUGUUAUCAAUUUUGCUUCAGAGAAUCUGAAUAUUCUACUGCUUGGAUCAGCACUUUCCAAGCACAAAAUAGGCAGCUUCAGCAUUUGUGCCUUCAGUGAGUGAAGUCACCACCACGGCAAGGAGGACACAGCAGGCAGGAAGAAGGAUCUUUGGACAAAGGUUCUCAAAGAAGGAAGGUGCACAAAGACAGAUGGAGAGCUGCAGGAGCCAGAGGGCGUAAUCAUCGUGUCUUAUCAUCAUCAGACCAGAAACCAAGAUGACAGCGCUCCUUAGAGUGACGGGAAAGAAAAGCCUCCAUUAAAUUGGGUAACUGGGGAGAAAAAAGCCUCCAAGUUUAUUCCUGCCAGCAAACUAGCUUCUCUAUGUCCUGUAGCACACACAGAGUACACCAGUCCUAGACAGGAGAAAAUGUCAACAUUUUUUCUGUGAUCCCACGAGAAAAGACUUUAUGUUGUAGGAAGGCUUUGUAAUUGCAAAGAAAGCUCAAUGGAAGAGACAGGGAAGAAAGGAAAUCUGAUGUCAAGACUCUGAUGAAUUUAACUUGUUAGUAUAAAUGUACAUACUGCACAUUUAAGCAGAAAUCCAAUAUCCUAAAAAUAUCCCCAGUACAGCCUGAGAACAGAAGAUUGUUGCCUUGCUAAACACCAGCCUCACUCCAGCUGAUUCUUGCGUUUUCACAGUAUUGCAAGUUAUGAACUCCUUCAAACUCUGGAAUACACCAUCAGGAAAAAAAAAAGAACAAAACCGAGAACAGUUUAAUUAUCUGAAAGUCAAAUCUGCAAAGGAACAGCCUACCUGACACCAGCACUGACACAGCAUUCAUACAUUCCACCACUGCUCACUCGGAUGUUUCCCUAAAAUGUUCAUUUAUUUUAGUGUACAUUUACUUUAAUAAAUGGAUAUUCAAUACAUGAAUUGGUGUUUCUGAAGACACCUUUUUUUUUUUUUUCUCUGUAAAACAAUUGAGAAAUUCAGACUAGCAUCUCCUCAUGAGUAUCUU